GGAUAACAGCGAGUCUGUUGUUUCAGGUUCUGCGAAGUCACCGCAGGCACCAGGGAGGAUAGCGUUGCUUUAGCAACGACCCAUCGGGCGAGGCGCAGCCGAGUAAUCCUCCCGGAUGCACCA
rnacentral:sRNA from 1 species